rnacentral:rRNA from 1 species
UACGUAGGGUCCGAGCGUUGUCCGGAAUUAUUGGGCGUAAAGAGCUCGUAGGCGGUUUGUUGCGUCGGCUGUGAAAUCCCGAGGCUCAACCUCGGGUCUGCAGUCGAUACGAGCAAACUAGAGUGUUGCAGGGGGAGACUGGAAUUCCUGGUGUAGCGGUGAAAUGCGCAGAUAUCAGGAGGAACACCGAUGGCGAAGGCAGGUCUCUGGGCAUUAACUGACGCUGAGGAGCGAAAGCAUGGGGAGCGAACAGG